UUUGAAAUUCCUCUUUUUUUCCAGAAUUCCUACACCCCCUCCCCUUCAGCUCAGACUACUCUCCAAGCCGUUGACAUCAAACCAAUUGCGUCUGGCAUGGCUCACACUCUCCCCGACGAUGAUGGCAAGUCGUCCUCUGUCGCUGGGGUUUACGCUGUUCAUUGGGGUUUCGAUGGUGUGGUGUUGGUUGUGUUCAACAGAAGCAUACAUCCCUUAUGCUCCCAAAACAUGGUUUGCGAAAUAAGGCACCUUUGGUGAAGAAUUGACACUAACAAUACAAGUGAGAGUAAAUAGGUUUGCGAAAUAAGGCACCUUUUAAGAAAAUCCUAGAUGGGAGAAACAAGCUUUUAUAGGAAGAAAACCUGUUUAUAAACUUUUGCUGAGAGCGGGAGAAUUAUCAUCAAGAAGACCAACUCAUUCUACACAACAAAACAGAGAACAGAUAGGGGUUACGAGAGAGAAAAAAUGAUCCAAUAGACAUUCAAAAAUUCAAUUAAAGGAAAAGAUAAUUGGAUACCUUUCUCUUAAAAUUUUGGUAGAGUUUCCUAAUACACAUCGGUGAAUAUUAGCAAUCCCCUGUUAAAAAACCUAUCAGAAA
rnacentral:lncRNA from 1 species